rnacentral:lncRNA from 1 species
GAUUCUCCCGCCUCAGCCUCCCAAGUGGCUGCGACUACAGGACCUGGGUGGGGCAAAUUCCUACCCACUGACCAACCUGAGCAUCUACGCUGAAAGCUCAGCUCCAACCUCCCUACUAGCUGUGCAGCCUUCCGGGAAGCCAGUGACCAUGUUGUGAGGAUGCUCAAGCAGUCUUUUGUAGGGGCCCACGUGGCAAAAAACUGAGCCCUCCCACCAACAGCCAUGUGAGAGAAGUGGGCUGGCAGCAGCUCGUCCAGCCCCAAGCGAACCUUCAGAUGAUGCAGCCCCAGAGCGUCUCCACUGAGGCCUUACCAGAGGCCAGACCCAGAGCCAGCCAGCUAAGCCAGGCCCAGAGCAACUGUGUGCGACACUGUUUACUGUUGUUGAAGGUGAGGAAACUGAGGCACAGUUUGGGACUGUGCUUGGGAACUUGCUUGGGAGCAGCGUGAAGAGUUAGGAAUCCAGGAAGUCUGGCUCCAGAGUCGGGCUCUAAACCACCAACGCUUUGUUGAAUGACUUAGGAUAAAAGAACACAGCCAAGGGGAGAAGGGACCCCUCUCUUUCCAGAUCGGCUGAGAACCUGGCGGAUGCUUCAUCUCAAGACAGGCUGGCUAUGGCAUGCUGGCAGCCCUCUCUGGUGAACAGUGGCGUCAGCAAGGCUGCCUGGGCUUGACGAGGGCAGUGUAGCCACCUAAGCACAGGUGACCAUCAAAGGAGAGUGACACCUUUAAAGAGGGGUCAUCAGAAACCAGAGGGCAGGCCUGUGCGAGCUGGCAGGGCACUGGGGACCAUUGAGACCCAACCGUACGACAUAGGAGCUUCAGGACGUGAGGUGGGCACUCUUUCAUGUAAAAAAUCCCAGAGGAAAGAGAUCGCCGGGACUCGAGACCCCUUAACCCGCCCCAUCCACAGUCAACGAAUCCCUGAGACCGGAUUCCCUAACGAGGCGCUCCCGGUGCCACCGCCCGCCAGACCC